ACAUAAAGAAUAAUAAUAAAAUAAUAAAACUUCAAAAUUAUAGGACAAGUCGGUCAAAACUUCAAAAAUUAUAGGACAAGUCGGUCUCU
rnacentral:rRNA from 14 species